rnacentral:rRNA from 1 species
AAUGAACGCUGGCGGCAGGCCUAACACAUGCAAGUCGAACGAGUGGCGGACGGGUGAGUAAUGUCUGGGAAACUGCCCGAUGGAGGGGGAUAACUACUGGAAAGGGUAGCUAAUACCGCAUACCAUCGGUUGAGGCUAGGUGGGAUUAGCUAGUAGGUGGGGGAACGGCUCACCUAGGCGACGAUCCCUAGCUGGUCUGAGAGGAUGACCGUCCAAACUGGAACUGGAACACGGUCCAAACUCUUCCGGAGGGCGGCGUUGGGAAAUAUUGGACAAUGAGCACAAGCCGGAUGCAGCCAGGCCGCGUGUAUAAGAAGGGCCUUCGGGUUGUAAGGUACUUUCAGCGAGGAGGCGUUACUCGCAGAAGAAGCACCGGCUAACUCCGUGCCAGCAGCCGCGGUAAUAC